rnacentral:lncRNA from 1 species
CAAUCCGUCCUGAAUUCCAAACCACCCGCAGCGCGAAAGAGUGGCAUAAAAUAAUUCUGAUAUGGCUCCCAGCUGCACAUCGUAAAGAAGUGGAAUCAUAAAAAUUUUCAUCAAAUCAUGUAGGCGUAGUUAGUAGCCCCUGUCCACAACGUUCCAGCAACGGGAAGACACGUCGAGCGUAAGGAUGAUGGCGCUAUACGACUGCGGUACAACGGAGGUGCCAUCAUAUCCCUAAACAACAAGCAGAUCCCAACAAUAUAGCUUCAUAUCUCCAGUAGCAACGUUCUUGCAUGGUGACAACCCGCUUCGGCAGCACACAGAUGAUGGCAACAUCAUCUUGAUGUCCGCCUACAGACACAAAGCACAUCAUUAUUUGCCAUCAAAAUGAUUCCAAUCUGAAUAGUAGGCAACCAAAAACAAUACUAUAUGAUUUCACAAUCGAAUGCAAAGCAAUAAGAAAAAAAGAUUUGAUUUUGCAUUCGAAUGAAAAGCGCAAAACACAGAGAGGGAACGAGAGAGUGCCCAAUGCCACAGUCGAGUAGUCGACAGCCAGAUGAUGUGCGACUUCCCGCUUUAGCAUCCCAUUUCUUAAUGACCGUGCUCACUUCAAGCUCCACAUCUAGAUCCUUCACGCCAUACAGAGAACCACGGGCUCUUUUCGAGUCCCGGCGGUUGGAGCAGGCGGAGGCGGGCGGCGCGAUAAGGAGCGGAGGGACCGCCAGAUGACGCCCGAAGUUUCCGGAGCAAGACCCAAACUGAUGAUCCGAUGGACGAUAUCAAUUGAGCUUGAGAUCUGACGGUCGUGAAAUACUGGUGACGUGUCCCAAUGCGCGAUCGGGAAUUGUCCGCUGGUUUCGUCACGUAGAGAUUUAUCGCUCGCUUCUGCUUCUGCUGCGGCUGUUGCUGCAGCUUGCAGCUAAUGCAGUUCCAGCUAAAAAAUAACUGCACAAUCUUAUCUUGAGAUAUAAAAAAUUGUAAAAUAAUUCUCACCCGCAUGCUAGCUGCAGCUGCUAUUGGCAUUCUGUUGCAGCCAUAGCCGUAGCACAGCUGCAGUCAACUGAUCCGAUC